rnacentral:rRNA from 1 species
GACGAACGCUGGCGGCGUGCUUAACACAUGCAAGUCGAGCGGUAAGGCCCUUUCGGGGGUACACGAGCGGCGAACGGGUGAGUAACACGUGGGUGACCUGCCCUCAGCUCUGGGAUAAGCCCGGGAAACUGGGUCUAAUACCGGAUAUGACUCCAUGACGCAUGUUGUGGGGUGGAAAGCCUUGUGCGGCUGAGGAUGGGCCCGCGGCCUAUCAGCUUGUUGGUGGGGUGAUGGCCUACCAAGGCGACGACGGGUAGCCGGCCUGAGAGGGCGACCGGCCACACUGGGACUGAGACACGGCCCAGACUCCUACGGGAGGCAGCAGUGGGGAAUCUUGCGCAAUGGGCGAAAGCCUGACGCAGCGACGCCGCGUGAGGGAUGAAGCCCUUUUCUGGGUGUAAACUUCUGUUGUGAGGGACGAAAUUUUUGACGGUACCUCACGAGAAAGCACCGGCUAAUUCUGUGCCAGCCGCCGCAGUAAU